AUUGAACGCUGGCGGCAGGCUUAACACAUGCAAGUCGAGCGGGGUGAUGGUGCUUGCACUAUCACUUAGCGGCGGACGGGUGAGUAAUGCUUAGGAAUCUGCCUGUUAGUGGGGGACAACAUCUCGAAAGGGAUGCUAAUACCGCAUACGUCCUACGGGAGAAAGCAGGGGAUCACUUGUGACCUUGCGCUAAUAGAUGAGCCUAAGUCGGAUUAGCUAGUUGGUGGGGUAAAGGCCUACCAAGGCGACGAUCUGUAGCGGGUCUGAGAGGAUGAUCCGCCACACUGGGACUGGGACACGGCCCAGACUCCUACGGGAGGCAGCAGUGGGGAAUAUUGGACAUUGGGGGGAACCCUGAUCCAGCCAUGCCGCGUGUGUGAAGAAGGCCUUAUGGUUGUAAAGCACUUUAAGCGAGGAGGAGGCUCUUUUGGUUAAUACCCAAGAUGAGUGGACGUUACUCGCAGAAUAAGCACCGGCUAACUCUGUGCCAGCAGCCGCCGUAA
rnacentral:rRNA from 1 species